rnacentral:rRNA from 1 species
CGUGGAGGAUGAAGACUUUCGGGUCGUAAACUCCUGUCGAAUGGGACGAAAAAGAUGCGGGUUAACAACCCGUGUUUCUGACGGUACCGUUAAAGGAAGCCCCGGCUAACUCCGUGC